UAAUAAGAGUCUUGAAGUGCAUGAAGAUAAUCGAAGAGUGGUAAAACUGAACUAUUUAAAUGAACUAUUUUUAAUUAAACACAACAUUUUUAGACGUCCAAUGUACGUUACAAAACUUUGUUCUUUAGAGAAAACAUAGAAAAAAGUGCCAAGGUAUCGAGAUACGGUAAAAACAGUUUUAUUAAAAGAGAUUAAGGGGGGACAUACACCUAGAAGGGUCAAAAAAUCGAUUUUUUUCUAUAUAUAUUUUCAAAGUAUGAUAUCUUAAGAAUAUUUUUGUGCAGUUAUAAAUCGAUCUGGCCAGUAAUAUAAAAGUUACACGUAAAUAUAUUCGAGUCCGUUCGAGCGCGCUAGGGUCAUUUCGGUUUUCACAGGUGUAAAACGAAAGAUCCCUCUGGUUAGGGUUCUUUCCCCUCCCUUUUCUAUUUAUUAUAUACCAAUACCAAGCAUCAGAUUUGCUUGGAAAACAUAAACAGUCGGUUCCACAGCAGUUCUUGUCCGGACGAGCAAUCGAAAGAAUCGAAUAGUACAGCAAAAUAAUACGACAGAAAUGGAUCGCAGGAAAUGAUCUAGAGAUCUCGGAACAUCUGAAAAUAUUCGAAAAUCAAGAGCAAAGAAACCUCCACUGCCUAGGAAUCGGCAUUCAAAUGGAACAGGAAGAGAAGAGCUAUAGCACGUCUGCGCUAAGCAGUACGAGAGAGGAGAGAAUACGUCGUCGCCAAGAAUAGAGGGACUUUCUAGAAACAUCUACUUCGGCAGAGGGUUUACUAUAUAGUCCUGGAGUAGAUGAUUCAGUAUGAUUCCUGUGGGAGCCACAGUGGUCACCGCAAACGCCGUUUUUAAAAUUAGGAGUUAGGAGCUGUAGCAUAGCGCCGCCAUUUUGAAUUUUUGAACAAUCAAACACAAAUUUUUUAAUA